ACGUAGGAGGCGAGCGUUAUCCGGAUUCACUGGGCGUAAAGCGCGUGCAGGCGGGUCGGUAAGUUGGGCGUGAAAUCUCCCGGCUCAACUGGGAGAGGGCGUUCAAUACUACCGGACUUGAGAGCGAUAGAGGAGAAUGGAAUUCCCGGUGUAGUGGUGAAAUGCGUAGAUAUCAGGAGGAACACCAGUGGCGAAGGCGAUUUACUGGAUCGAAUCUGACGCUCAGACGCGAAAGCGAGGGUAGCAAACGG
rnacentral:rRNA from 1 species